CAUUCUGUUAUGCUUGAUGCAAUCCCCACUUUGAAGUUCAACCAAGAGAGCUUCAACCAAGAUACAUAGAGAAUUUGAUGUCAAAAAGUGGAAGGAAAAAUUACUUGGCUCUAAUAAUUCUGAGCUUAACAAGGGAUUGGAUCAAGAGAGUGAGAUUCCAUCACUAGAGAGUUAGAAAGUAGGUCUUCUGGAGCGAGCAAUAAAGAAGCAUGAUCUUGCAUGAUAAAGAUUUUAUGUAUUAAGGAUGAUAUAUAUAUGUUAAGAUGAAUUACUGAAAAAUGUUUAUUUUUGAUACUUUGUUUUUGGAUUAUGACUUUUGAUUUUUGGAGACCAUGUAUGAAUUAAAAAUCUUGUUAU